CAGGACACCGGCCCUCCAGGACCGAGUUUGGACACCCCUGGUUUAAAUCAACCUUAAACAGAGAGUAAUCAUUCUGAAUUAAAUUCUAUUUUAACUGUUCACAUCCAACAAUGCAGUAAGCCUGUUUGCAAUAAUAUUGCUAUGAAUUGGAAAACACCUAUUAAUGAAUUUUAGCAUAAUCUGCUGAGACCCAAGAAAUCUCACUUGGGUCUUUUUACAGAGGCCCAUACAAAGAGUCCCACACAUACUGCGCUAGUCUUUUUGUUUGUCAAUUUAGCUCAUCAUUCCUAUUGUGCACAAAUGCAUAUUAAUGAACAGUGAUACAAGUGAUUAAUCCAAGGUUUACAAAAACAUCUGAUUGGAUAAUCAUAGAAAUAUGCUUUUAAAGGUCAAGACUGUUUUCCUUACGUUUUUACAGCAAGACAGGCUUAACAGAUCCAUUGUUGUGGAAUCUGCAAUUGAAAAAAAGAUGAAGGAUUCUUGAAGGAUGUUGUUGUUGUUUUAACAUGAUCUGUAUAUAUUUGCCUUGCUUUCAGAGCAACGUGAAAAGAUUGUUACACAUAUAUGCAGGUUUUUGUGUCUUAGAUCACUUUUUACUAGAGUGUCUUUUUGAGGGGAGAAAAACGACGAACUACUGAAGUCAAAAACUAACCAACAGCUGCUUCCUUCUAAUUUGCUUUUUUUAAAAACGAAACGAUGACUAAAAUGGGUAUAACUGUGAAGAUGUGACGCGUGUUGAUGAAGAAGCCGUGUUGACUGCUUUUGUGUGUGUUAGUUGGAUGUCAGUGGUUGCGAUUCCUUCUUUUGAGGAAUAGUUUGAUUGGACAUGAUCAGAAUGAGUAGAUACAUUAGCGUGAAGGAACUCGUAACCGAAGUUGUGUUUUCAUGUUAGCACAAUACUUAAGCAGUGUAGUAACUCUUCGUAUCGCCAAUUCUGAUCCAUUGCCUUUUGUGGGGUUUUAAGGGGUUAAUGUGCUUGUAUAUUGCAUACCGUUUCCAAGUUUGUACUCAAACCGUUGUAUCAGUGUAUCUCUAUUUACACUUGUAGCAGUAAAUGUACAUAAAUGUUUGUGCCCCCCACUCUUUUUGGAUUACGGGGAGUCGUUUUUCGCCCUAGCUUAGUGUUUGUAUCGUUUGUAGCAUGUUUCAGCUUUAGCAUUCAGACUUUUUAGAGACCUGUUACACCCUCGCUAGUUUUGCUAUUGCCUUCAUGAGUCCCUAGCUGCUUUCCUGUUUUGCUAAUUUUCCCUCUUCGUUAGCCAAGGGUCCUGCGUUGGUGCCACAGAGCUUGACUAGACCCUUCAUUUCUUCUGAUUUGGAAGGUCACCAUCUAGAAGUAAGUAGAGUUAGCAAAACCGGAUUAAAGAGCAGCACAGUCCUUACCAUCCUCUGCCCCAGUUGAGAUGCUCCAGAUUUUCCUGUAGCUGUUGUUUUUCACUGUGAAUUCAGGUGCACCUUUGUUUCCCCAUAACCCAAGCCCUUGCCAAUGGUGCUUUCCUUCGCAAUGCCUUACCACGCUAACAUUAGGGAAGACACGCUAGUUUACUAACACAGCACUAACAGUCACGACCGUUAGAAGGGCUGCCUCGCUUGAAUGUCUACAAACUAGACGUACUAGGUUAUGUACGUUGUUCCAGUUUAAAGGUGUGGUCACAUUCACCGAAUUUUGUGGCCAAAAAUGUCCACCGUCAAAGGCUGAUUGCUCACGCAGAUCACUUUUAAACCAGCUUUCUGUUAAUUUGUGAUAAACUGCGAAUUCUGCAUCCGAAAAAAAUGUUGCCCUCGCGCAAAAUUCCUGAUCACAUGGAUUCUUAUUGAAAUUUCGACCACAAAAAAGUGCCAGUAAAUGUGACCUCACCUUAACACUAUUGCAGUUUGAACUGAUCUGAAAUAUUGUUAACUCGCAUGCCCAAGAUAAAGCAGAUUUACAAUCUUGUGAAUGGUAACUAUGUCGGAGACAUAUCGGCGCAGAAUGUUGCCUGGUACUUACCCUUAAAGGCGCGUCCUACCAAGGCUUUUGUACAGUAUCUAGGGUGAAAACCAACAAAGAGAAUGUUAGCUGAAUGUAACUCUUUUUACUGCUUUGGCUACCAGAACAAUGUAGCUUUUUUGGUGCUACACUUGUAAGAAAUGAAGAACACCAAAGAUGAAAUGUGAUGGUUUUUGCCUUUUUGCAUGCUCUUUGACUUUGGUGUGAGUCUAGUGAUCCUGUGGAAUGAAUUUGAAACAGCUGAGUGAAAUAUACAAGUCUCGGUUAAGGCAAAUGUGGAAAUUCACAAGUGUCUUGAACAUUUUCGACAACAUUAUCGCCUGUUUGUGAUGAACUGCUUCCAGAUUUAUUGCCUGGGCGCAUUAUGUAUCUGUUAAAACCUCCCUAAUUUCUUCAGUUGACCAUCUACAUUUCUGGGCACUAGUAGUUUGUAUGGUGGAUGUUGCAUUUGUAAGGAUCUCUGGGCUCUCUGGUGUCGUUUGGCCAGUAUAGUUGCAAUUUUGUCAAAACAAGGGUGUACGCGCCGAACUGUACUGAUAUGCAUGUUUUGGAUUCUAGCUGUAGAUAUUAAAGGUUUUUCUUGUGUACUGGGUUUAUUUAUGAACUUGAGAAAUUUGUUAUUGGGAUGAUAAGUUUCUGAAAUGUCUUGAUUUGCACUGCCAGUUUAGUUCUUACAUCAUGGUACUGCCACAGAUUAGACUGUAAAGCCAUAGGUUUAUCUGUCAUUGAAUGAACUAAAAUUCUGCUUUGACAUAAACCUCAGAAAUAUUGACUUUCAGAAUUAAACCUCACAGUUUUUAUCAGUGCCUGCUCACUCAAAUACAGACUGUGAUGAAAACACAAUUAAUUACACAGGUAUCAACUGGCAAUCCUCUUCUAGACAUUUUAAUAUUCUAAUUUCACUCUGUAUCUCACUGGUUAUACUUGGUGGUAAAAAAAAAUAAAAAUCAGCAUACAGAAACCCAAUAAUAAACUAUUUAUCUUGUCUUUGUUUCUUUCCUAUUUAUUUUUCUUCAAGUCUGGUUGCAAGUUUCUGGAGUCAAUUUUUUUAACAGAAGUAAAAAAAUUUGCAUGUACAAAGAAUAACCAGGGUUGCACAAAAGCUAAAAUAAAGCCAAAA